GUAGCUCAUUGGUAGAGCAAUCGGCUGUUAACCGAUCGGUCGUGGGUUCGACUCCCACC
rnacentral:tRNA from 1 species